rnacentral:rRNA from 1 species
AACGCUAGCUACAGGCUUAACACAUGCAAGUCGAGGGGUAGCACGGAGGAAGCUUGCUUCCUUGGGUGACGACCGGCGCACGGGUGAGUAACGCGUAUCCGACCUACCCAUAACUCGGGCACAGCCGCUCGAAAGAGUGAUUGAUUCCCGAUAUGUCAUUAGAGUAGAUUUAAUGAUGAAAGAUUUAUCGGUUAUGGAUGGGGAUGCGUAAGAUCAGGUAGUAGGCGGGGUAACGGCCCACCUAGCCGACGAUCUUUAGGGGUUCUGAGAGGAAGGUCCCCCACACUGGUACUGAGACACGGACCAGACUCCUACGGGAGGCAGCAGUGAGGAAUAUUGGUCAAUGGGCGGAAGCCUGAACCAGCCAAGUAGCGUGAAGGAUUACAGCCCUACGGGUUUUAAACUUCUUUUAUAUAAGAGUAAUGUGCACUACGUGUAGCGUAUUGCAAGUAUUAUAUGAAUAAGCAUCGGCUAACUCCGUGCCAGCAGCCGCGGUAAUACGGAGGAUGCGAGCGUUAUCCGGAUUUAUUGGGUUUAAAGGGAGCGUAGGCGGGAUAUUAAGUCAGUCGUCAAAGCCUGUGGCUCAACCACAGCCCGCGAUUGAUACUGGUAACCUUGAGUGCGGAUGAGGUGGAUGGAAUUCGUGGUGUAGCGGUGAAAUGCUUAGAUAUCACGAAGAACUCCGAUUG